rnacentral:rRNA from 1 species
ACUCCUACGGGAGGCAGCAGUGGGGAAUAUUGCACAAUGGGCGCAAGCCUGAUGCAGCAACGCCGCGUGAGCGAUGAAGGCCUUCGGGUCGUAAAGCUCUGUCCUCAAGGAAGAAUAAAUGACGGUACUUGAGGAGGAAGCCCGGCUAACUACGUGCCAGCAGCCGCGGUAAUACGUAGGGGCAAGCGUUAUCCGGAAUCACUGGGCGUAAAGGGUGCGUAGGCGGUUUUUCAAGUCAGAAGUGAAAGGCUAUGGCUCAACCAUAGUAAGCUUUUGAAACUGUUAAACUUGAGUGCAGGAGAGGAAAGUGGAAUUCCUAGUGUAGAGGUGAAAUUCGUAGAUAUUAGGAGGAACACCAGUGGCGAAGCGACUUUCUGGACUGUAACUGACGCUGAGGCACGAAAGCGUGGGA